UUUUUCUCUUUCCCCACCACCAUUCACCACUGUCGUCUCUAUAAAACCAUAAAUCAAUAUCAGAAAUGCAAAAUACAAAACCCAAUUUCUCUUAAACUUACCCAUAAAUCACAAAUUCAACUCCAGCAGCAACUGGCCUCUCUGGCUCAUCAAAUGCAAACUCAUCAAAAUGCAAGCAGUUCCUCAACUUCCCAGAAGCAUUUACAGAGCCAACCAACAUUCGGGCAUUGUAAAAUGUGUUUUCCAAAUUGGUUUUCAAAAGUGGAAAAACUUUUUUCCUUGGUGUAACCACUUAGCAUAAAUCUGUUAGUUGAUUUAUGGUGAUUUGGAUCUGUGUUUCUUGUGGCUGAUUUGGAUCGUUGACGUGGAUCUAACGGCUGUGGCUUAAAGGCAUAUUUUAGACUCUUGAACUGGCCCCGUCUGAUUGAUUUUCAUUCAUUCAUUCUUUCAACCUCUAAACUCUUGUGUAACCUCACCUGUUCAAGAUCGGUGGUAUUCAUUGUAAAUUGAAUCUAGUUUCUGAUUUCUGACUUUUUGGUGUAGUGUGUAGUCAGAUUUGGUUCGUGACUAUGUAUAGUUAUCAUCUGCGGAAGUUUUCAGUGUUCUUAUAGUUGAUUAAACUAUAUAGAGUUUUGGCUAUAGUUGUUAUAGUUUUGAGUCGAUUAGGGGUUGCUUUUCUUGAGAUCUAUGUAGAUCAGUGACAGUGUGUUGGGUCUGAUUGUUGUACUCUAAUCUCAAACUCUUUCUUGGGCGGUUCUUUGUACAUAGUGACGGGCCCUUUAGCUCUGAGUCCCCAGAUUAGGCGUUGCCGAACUAGUUUUUGAAUACAGAUCCGAAAUGAGGAUCUUGGAGGCUAGGGUUUGGUAAAGAUGAAUUGGAAUUUUAAAUACUGUUAUACAUAGUGUUUUGGUGAGACUAUUCUAAACAUUUUUUCUCAAUAACAGAUUUGGAUGAUUUAAAUGUAAUAUGUGAAUUUGUUGGAUUACUAUA